rnacentral:rRNA from 1 species
GGGUUGUGAGGUUAAGCGACUAAGCGUACACGGUGGAUGCCCUGGCAGUCAGAGGCGAUGAAGGACGUGCUAAUCUGCGAAAAGCGUCGGUAAGGUGAUAUGAACCGUUACAGCCGGCGAUGUCCGAAUGGGGAAACCCAGUGCAAUUCGUUGCACUAUCGUUAACUGAAUACAUAGGUUAACGAGGCGAACCGGGGGAACUGAAACAUCUAAGUACCCCGAGGAAAAGAAAUCAACCGAGAUUCCCCCAGUAGCGGCGAGCGAACGGGGAGCAGCCCAGAGUCUGAAUCAGCUUGUGUGUUAGUGGAACGGUCUGGAAAGUCCGACGGUACAGGGUGAUAGUCCCGUACACCAAAAUGCACAGGCUGUGAACUCGAAGAGUAGGGCGGGACACGUGGUAUCCUGUCUGAAUAUGGGGGGACCAUCCUCCAAGGCUAAAUACUCCUGACUGACCGAUAGUGAACCAGUACCGUGAGGGAAAGGCGAAAAGAACCCCGGCGAGGGGAGUGAAAAAGAACCUGAAACCGUGUACGUACAAGCAGUGGGAGCACCUUCGGGUGUGACUGCGUACCUUUUGUAUAAUGGGUCAGCGACUUAUAUUCUGUAGCAAGGUUAACCGUAUAGGGGAGCCGCAGGGAAACCGAGUCUUAACUGGGCGUUAAGUUGCAGGGUAUAGACCCGAAACCCGGUGAUCUAGCCAUGGGCAGGUUGAAGGUUGGGUAACACUAACUGGAGGACCGAACCGACUAAUGUUGAAAAAUUAGCGGAUGACUUGUGGCUGGGGGUGAAAGGCCAAUCAAACCGGGAGAUAGCUGGUUCUCCCCGAAAGCUAUUUAGGUAGCGCCUCGUGAAUUCAUCUUCGGGGGUAGAGCACUGUUUCGGCUAGGGGGUCAUCCCGACUUACCAACCCGAUGCAAACUACGAAUACCGAAGAAUGUUAUCACGGGAGACACACGGCGGGUGCUAACGUCCGUCGUGAAGAGGGAAACAACCCAGACCGCCAGCUAAGGUCCCAAAGUCACAGUUAAGUGGGAAACGAUGUGGGAAGGCACAGACAGCCAGGAUGUUGGCUUAGAAGCAGCCAUCAUUUAAAGAAAGCGUAAUAGCUCACUGGUCGAGUCGGCCUGCGCGGAAGAUGUAACGGGGCUAAACUGUGCACCGAAGCUGCGGCAGCGACACUAUGUGUUGUUGGGUAGGGGAGCGUUCUGUAAGCCUGCGAAGGUGGCCUGUGAGGGUUGCUGGAGGUAUCAGAAGUGCGAAUGCUGACAUAAGUAACGAUAAUGCGGGUGAAAAGCCCGCACGCCGGAAGACCAAGGGUUCCUGUCCAACGUUAAUCGGGGCAGGGUGAGUCGACCCCUAAGGCGAGGCCGAAAGGCGUAGUCGAUGGGAAACAGGUUAAUAUUCCUGUACUUGGUGUUACUGCGAAGGGGGGACGGAGAAGGCUAUGUUAGCCGGGCGACGGUUGUCCCGGUUUAAGCAUGUAGGCGGAGGUUCCAGGUAAAUCCGGUACCUUUUAACGCUGAGGUGUGAUGACGAGGCACUACGGUGCUGAAGUAACAAAUGCCCUGCUUCCAGGAAAAGCCUCUAAGCAUCAGGUAACAUUGAAUCGUACCCCAAACCGACACAGGUGGUCAGGUAGAGAAUACCAAGGCGCUUGAGAGAACUCGGGUGAAGGAACUAGGCAAAAUGGUGCCGUAACUUCGGGAGAAGGCACGCUGAUAUGUAGGUGAAGCCCCUGCGGGUGGAGCUGAAAUCAGUCGAAGAUACCAGCUGGCUGCAACUGUUUAUUAAAAACACAGCACUGUGCAAACACGAAAGUGGACGUAUACGGUGUGACGCCUGCCCGGUGCCGGAAGGUUAAUUGAUGGGGUUAUCCGUAAGGAGAAGCUCUUGAUCGAAGCCCCGGUAAACGGCGGCCGUAACUAUAACGGUCCUAAGGUAGCGAAAUUCCUUGUCGGGUAAGUUCCGACCUGCACGAAUGGCGUAAUGAUGGCCAGGCUGUCUCCACCCGAGACUCAGUGAAAUUGAACUCGCUGUGAAGAUGCAGUGUACCCGCGGCAAGACGGAAAGACCCCGUGAACCUUUACUAUAGCUUGACACUGAACAUUGAGCCUUGAUGUGUAGGAUAGGUGGGAGGCUUUGAAGCGUGGACGCCAGUCUGCGUGGAGCCAACCUUGAAAUACCACCCUUUAAUGUUUGAUGUUCUAACGUUGGCCCCUAAUCGGGGUUGCGGACAGUGUCUGGUGGGUAGUUUGACUGGGGCGGUCUCCUCCCAAAGAGUAACGGAGGAGCACGAAGGUUAGCUAAUCCUGGUCGGACAUCAGGAGGUUAGUGCAAUGGCAUAAGCUAGCUUGACUGCGAGCGUGACGGCGCGAGCAGGUGCGAAAGCAGGUCAUAGUGAUCCGGUGGUUCUGAAUGGAAGGGCCAUCGCUCAACGGAUAAAAGGUACUCCGGGGAUAACAGGCUGAUACCGCCCAAGAGUUCAUAUCGACGGCGGUGUUUGGCACCUCGAUGUCGGCUCAUCACAUCCUGGGGCUGAAGUAGGUCCCAAGGGUAUGGCUGUUCGCCAUUUAAAGUGGUACGCGAGCUGGGUUUAGAACGUCGUGAGACAGUUCGGUCCCUAUCUGCCGUGGGCGCUGGAGAAUUGAGGGGGGCUGCUCCUAGUACGAGAGGACCGGAGUGGACGCAUCACUGGUGUUCGGGUUGUCAUGCCAAUGGCAUUGCCCGGUAGCUAAAUGCGGAAGAGAUAAGUGCUGAAAGCAUCUAAGCACGAAACUUGCCCCGAGAUGAGUUCUCCCUGAGACUUUAAGUCUCCUGAAGGAACGUUAAAGACGAUGACGUUGAUAGGUCGGGUGUGUAAGCGUAGCGAUACGUUGAGCUAACCGAUACUAAUGAACCGUGAGGCUUAACCUUACAACGCCGAAGGUGUUU